rnacentral:rRNA from 1 species
AACGAACGCUGGCGGCAUGCCUAACACAUGCAAGUCGAACGGGACCUUCGGGUCUAGUGGCGCACGGGUGCGUAACGCGUGGGAACCUGCCCUUAGGUUCGGAAUAACUCCCCGAAAGGGGUGCUAAUACCGGAUAAUGUCUUCGGACCAAAGAUUUAUCGCCUUUGGAUGGGCCCGCGUUGGAUUAGCUAGUUGGUAGGGUAAAAGCCUACCAAGGCGACGAUCCAUAGAUGGUCUGAGAGGAUGAUCAGCCACACUGGGACUGAGACACGGCCCAGACUCCUACGGGAGGCAGCAGUGGGGAAUAUUGGACAAUGGGCGAAAGCCUGAUCCAGCAAUGCCGCGUGAGUGAUGAAGGCCUUAGGGUUGUAAAGCUCUUUUACCCGGGAUGAUAAUGACAGUACCGGGAUAAUAAGCUCCGGCUAACUCCGUG